GAAUGUGAGGGUGAUCUGGCUGCAACAUCCAUCACCCUGUUGACCACCAGCAUUGUUUAGGCUGAUCUGGCUGACUAGGCAGGUAUCCCUUUCUUCCCCCAACACUCCAUGUGCAUCCCUCUGGAGCUUGGAUGAAGAGGAUGACCUUCCCCAAUAGAGGAGGACAUUUCUUGGGUCACGGGUAUUCUAGUAACAGUGUUGCCCUGUUAGAACCUCCAAACAAACUGAUGACUUGAAUUAUCUUUGAUAUAAACAGGGACUACCACUUUUAGGUCACCAACCCAGACAUUCUUUCUAAGUUCCAAAGCUAUGUACUCACUUGGCUACUCAACAUA
ensembl:misc_RNA 7SK 7SK RNA